GUCAGUGACCUUCCAGUCAGUGACCUUCCAGUCAGCCUACAGCAGAGGUUCCGGCCGGAUCUGCUCCGGACAACCUAGCUUUUCAGCAAUCUCCUAGAUUUCUUCUCCCUGUGUGUCCUGUAUGUCGCUCUGUGUCUCACUCAGGGAUGCAGGCGUUGGCCCUGACAGACGCCGGCUCUACUACAGACGCAGCUGACCGGCAUUCACCUCCUCUCUCUGGGCAUGAACGGAUCAAGUGUUCAUCCAUUCUUCACCCGAAACACUUCAUCGUAUCUGAAGUUAAGUGGCAUGAAUAGUAGGGAUGCACCGAUACCGAUCCGAAUACGGUCAUUUAAUAAUAUUCAGAGCUAGGGUGUGUGCCUUUGUGUUUUCCUUUUUGCGCCACCCGAAACCCUCGUUUUUGGUUAUUAUAAUUCAAACCAUUGUAUGCUUUAUUUUACUUUAAUUUCAUUCACGGCAAUAAAACAAGCGAUUGCCUGAUAACACCGGCUGUAUGUUACUUCCUUCACCCCUACACCACCUCUGGGUUGUAACACAUCCAGUAUAACUGUUGUUUCAACAGCAUUUAAAUGACUAUAUUUCAUCACUGUAAUACGGUCAUUUAUUAACCCUGAUCUGGGUCAGAGCUAUUCAUGAUAUCAUUAAAUUAUGUUUAUGCUGACGUUGAAUAAACUAUCACAUUUAGCCCAUUGAUUGGUUGAUCGGAGAUCAUCGUCAUCACUACACAGACGUCAUGACUGACAUCAUGACAACAGAGACGUCAUGACUGACAUCAUGACAACAGAGACGUCAUGACUGACGUCAUGACAACAGAGACGUCAUGACUGACGUCACAGUCCUCGCUCGAAAAGUUUACUUAUAGGACCCGCGCUGCGAUCAGGUUCAGAUCAUCGUGGUUAAUAUUGCUGGAAAGCUGGGUUGUUCGGUGCCGGUCGGGGUUCUCUAUGAGGCCUCUCCGGAUCAACAUUGAGCAAUCGAGGACUAUCAGCUGUUAACUGAAGAAGACGGAAGACUGAAGACUGAAGACUGAAGAAGCAACGUGGUGGGUGGUGGGGGGGAUGCAGGCGUUGGCCCUGACAGACGCCGGCUCUACUACAGACGCAGCUGACCGGCAUUCACCUCCUCUCUCUGGGCAUGAACGGAUCAAGUGUUCAUCCAUUCUUCACCCGAAACACUUCAUCGUAUCUGAAGUUAAGUGGCAUGAAUAGUAGGGAUGCACCGAUACCGAUCCGAAUACGGUCAUUUAAUAAUAUUCAGAGCUAGGGUGUGUGCCUUUGUGUUUUCCUUUUUGCGCCACCCGAAACCCUCGUUUUUGGUUAUUAUAAUUCAAACCAUUGUAUGCUUUAUUUUACUUUAAUUUCAUUCACGGCAAUAAAACAAGCGAUUGCCUGAUAACACCGGCUGUAUGUUACUUCCUUCACCCCUACACCACCUCUGGGUUGUAACACAUCCAGUAUAACUGUUGUUUCAACAGCAUUUAAAUGACUAUAUUUCAUCACUGUAAUACGGUCAUUUAUUAACCCUGAUCUGGGUCAGAGCUAUUCAUGAUAUCAUUAAAUUAUGUUUAUGCUGACGUUGAAUAAACUAUCACA